rnacentral:rRNA from 1 species
GGAAAAGAAACCAACAGGGAUUGCCUCAGUAACGGCGAGUGAAGCGGCAAAAGCUCAAAUUUUAAAGCUGGCAUCUUCGGUGUCCGCGUUGUAAUUUUGUGAGGCAUCUCCGGGUAGGGCGCCGGCCUAAGUUCCUUGGAACAGGACGUCACAGAGGGUGAGAAUCCCGUGCUUGGCUGGCUGUCCCCGUCCAUGUGAGGUGUCUUCGACGAGUCGAGUUGUUUGGGAAUGCAGCUCAAAAUGGGUGGUAAAUUUCAUCUAAAGCUAAAUAUUGGUGGGAGACCGAUAGCGCACAAGUAGAGUGAUCGAAAGAUGAAAAGCACUUUGAAAAUAGAGUUAAAAAGUACGUGAAAUUGUUGAAAGGGAAGCGCUUGAGAUCAGACUUCGGUAGGGGGUGAUCAGCUGUCCUUCUGGGCGGUGCACUUGCCCCUCUCCGGGCCAGCAUCGGUUGAGGCGGCGGGAUAAAGGUCCCGGGAAUGUGGCUCCUUCGCGGGAGUGUUAUAGCCCGGGUGAAUGCCGCCAGUCUCGACCGAGGACCGCACCCGCAAGGGUUA